rnacentral:rRNA from 1 species
GAUGAACGCUAGCUACAGGCUUAACACAUGCAAGUCGAGGGGCAGCAUUACGGUAGCUUGCUACUGUAGAUGGCGACCGGCGCACGGGUGAGUAACGCGUAUCCAACCUGCCCAUGACUUGGGGAUAACCUUGCGAAAGCAAGCCUAAUACCCGAUACGCUUCAUAGACGGCAUCUGAAAUGAAGUAAAGGUUUACGGUUAUGGAUGGGGAUGCGUCCGAUUAGCUUGUUGGCGGGGUAACGGCCCACCAAGGCAUCGAUCGGUAGGGGUUCUGAGAGGAAGGUCCCCCANAUUGGAACUGAGACACGGUCCAAAACUCCUACGGGAGGCAGCAGUGAGGAAUAUUGGUCCAAUGGAGGCAACUCUGAACCAGCCAAGUAGCGUGCAGGAUGACGGCCCUAUGGGUUGUAAACUGCUUUUAUGCGGGGAUAAAUUGACUCACGUGUGGGUCAUUGCAGGUACCGCAUGAAUAAGGACCGGCUAAUU